rnacentral:rRNA from 1 species
CUGGCUCAGGAUGAACGCUAGCUACAGGCUUAACACAUGCAAGUCGAGGGGCAGCGAGGAGUUAGCUUGCAACUUGUCGGCGACCGGCGCACGGGUGAGUAACGCGUAUCCAACCUUCCCCAUAGUAGAGGAUAGCCCGGCGAAAGUCGGAUUAAUACUCUAUGUUGUAUUUCGAGGACAUCUGAAGAAUACCAAAGGUUUACCGCUAUGGGAUGGGGAUGCGUCUGAUUAGGUAGUAGGCGGGGUAACGGCCCACCUAGCCGGCGAUCAGUAGGGGUUCUGAGAGGAAGGUCCCCCACACUGGAACUGAGACACGGUCCAAACUCCUACGGGAGGCAGCAGUGAGGAAUAUUGGUCAAUGGGCGUGAGCCUGAACCAGCCAAGUAGCGUGCCAGGAUGACGGCCCUAUGGGUUGUAAACUGCUUUUAUGCGGGGAUAAAGUGCGCCACGUGUGGCGUUUUGUAGGUACCGCAUGAAUAAGGACCGGCUAAUUCCGUGCCAGCCGCGGC